rnacentral:rRNA from 1 species
CGCUAUACAUGCAGUCGAGCGAGAAGACGUAGCAAUACGUUUGUAAAGCGGCGAACGGGUGAGGAAUACAUGGGUAACCUACCCUCGAGUGGGGAAUAACUAGCCGAAAGGUUAGCUAAUACCGCAUACGACUCUCAAUCUGCGGAUCGAGAGGGAAAGCGAUACCGUGGGUAUCGCGCUCAUGGAUGGGCUCAUGUCCUAUCAGCUUGUUGGUGAGGUAAUGGCUCACCAAGGCUUCGACGGGUAGCUGGUCUGAGAGGACGAUCAGCCACACUGGCACUGCGACACGGGCCAGACUCCUACGGGAGGCAGCAGUAAGGAAUAUUGCGCAAUGGGCGACAGCCUGACGCAGCGACGCCGCGUGGGGGAUGAAGGUCUUCGGAUUGUAAACCCCUUUCGGCAGGGAAGAUGGAACGGGUAACCGUUCGGACGGUACCUGCAAAAGCAGCCACGGCUAACUUCGUGCCAGCAGCCGCGGUAAUACGAAGGUGGCAAGCGUUGUUCGGAUUUACUGGGCGUACAGGGAGCGUAGGCGGUUGGGUAAGCCCUCCGUGAAAUCUCCGGGCCUAACCCGGAAAGUGCGGAGGGGACUGCUCGGCUAGAGGAUGGGAGAGGAG